AGUCAUGAAUGCAUCUUGUUGAAAACAGUCUCCACUACAGACACAGCUUUGUGCACACUCAUAAGUGUCCAUCAUCGAUGCAGUAACGGUGAAAAGUCUGAGUGUAAGAAAUACAGCUGCAUGUUCAGGCAGACUGUAAAAACAGCCU